rnacentral:rRNA from 1 species
GACGAACGCUGGCGGCGUGCUUAACACAUGCAAGUCGAACGGAAAGGCCCUGCUUUUGUGGGGUGCUCGAGUGGCGAACGGGUGAGUAACACGUGAGUAACCUGCCCCUGACUUUGGGAUAACUUCAGGAAACUGGGGCUAAUACCGGAUAGGAGCUCCUGCUGCAUGGUGGGGGUUGGAAAGUUUCGGCGGUUGGGGAUGGACUCGCGGCUUAUCAGCUUGUUGGUGGGGUAGUGGCUUACCAAGGCUUUGACGGGUAGCCGGCCUGAGAGGGUGACCGGCCACAUUGGGACUAAGAUACGGCCCAGACUCCAACGGGAGGCAGCAGUGGGAAAUAUUGCACAAUGGGCGGAAGCCUGAUGCGGCAACGCCGCGUGCGGGAUGACGGCCUUCGGGUUGUAAACCGCUUUCGCCUGUGACAAAGCGUGAGUGACGGUAAUGGGUAAAGAAGCACCGGCUAACUACGUG